rnacentral:misc_RNA from 1 species
GAUGAAGAACGCAGCGAAAUGCGAUACGUAAUGUGAAUUGCAAAUUCAGUGAAUCAUCGAGUCUUUGAACGCACAUUGCGCCCCCUGGUAUUCCGGGGGGCAUGCCUGUCCGAGCGUCAUUGCUGCCCUCAAGCACGGCUUGUGUGUUGGGCCCCGUCCUCCGAUCCCGGGGGACGGGCCCGAAAGGCAGCGGCGGCACCACGUCCGGUCCUCGAGCGUAUGGGGCUUUGUCACCCGCUCUGUAGGCCCGGCCGGCGCUUGCCGAUCAACCCAAAUUUUUAUCCAGGUUGACCUCGGAUCAGGUAGGGAUACCCGCUGAACUUAAGCAUAUCAAUAAGCGGAGGA